GCGAGUGGCGAACGGGUGAGUAAUGCAUCGGAACGUGCCAUUGAGUGGGGGAUAACGUAGCGAAAGUUGCGCUAAUACCGCAUAUUCUGUGAGCAGGAAAGCAGGGGACCGCAAGGCCUUGCGCUCUUUGAGCGGCCGAUGUCAGAUUAGCUAGUUGGUGAGGUAAAGGCUUACCAAGGCGACGAUCUGUAGCGGGUCUGAGAGGAUGAUCCGCCACACUGGAACUGAGACACGGUCCAGACUCCUACGGGAGGCAGCAGUGGGGAAUUUUGGACAAUGGGGGCAACCCUGAUCCAGCCAUGCCGCGUGAGUGAAGAAGGCCUUCGGGUUGUAAAGCUCUUUCGGCCGGGAAGAAAUCGCAUGGGCCAAUACCCUGUGGAUGACGGUACCGGAAUAAGAAGCACCGGCUAACUACGUGCCAGCAGCCGCGGUAAUACGUAGGGUGCGAGCGUUAAUCGGAAUUACUGGGCGUAAAGCGUGCGCAGGCGGUUUUGUAAGACAGGCGUGAAAUCCCCGGGCUUAACCUGGGAACUGCGUUUGUGACUGCAAGGCUAGAGUACGGCAGAGGGGGGUGGAAUUCCACGUGUAGCAGUGAAAUGCGUAGAGAUGUGGAGGAACACCAAUGGCGAAGGCAGCCCCCUGGGUCGAUACUGACGCUCAUGCACGAAAGCGUGGGUAGCAAACAGGAUUAGAUACCCUGGUAGUCCACGCCCUAAACUAUGUCAACUAGGUGUUGGGUGGGUAAAACCAUUUAGUACCGUAGCUAACGCGUGAAGUUGACCGCCUGGGGAGUACGGCCGCAAGGUUAAAACUCAAAGGAAUUGACGGGGACCCGCACAAGCGGUGGAUGAUGUGGAUUAAUUCGAUGCAACGCGAAAAACCUUACCUACCCUUGACAUGCCAGGAACUUGCCAGAGAUGGCUUGGUGCCCGAAAGGGAGCCUGGACACAGGUGCUGCAUGGCUGUCGUCAGCUCGUGUCGUGAGAUGUUGGGUUAAGUCCCGCAACGAGCGCAACCCUUGUCGUUAAUUGCCAUCAUUUAGUUGGGCACUUUGACGAGACUGCCGGUGACAAACCGGAGGAAGGUGGGGAUGACGUCAAGUCCUCAUGGCCCUUAUGGGUAGGGCUUCACACGUCUUACAAUGGUCGGUACAAAGGGUUGCCAAGCCGCGAGGCGGAGCCAAUCCCAGAAAGCCGAUCGUAGUCCGGAUUGCAGGCUGCAACUCGCCUGCAUGAAGUCGGAAUCGCUAGUAAUCGUGGAUCAGCAUGUCACGGUGAAUACGUUCCCGGGUCUUGUACACACCGCCCGUCACACCAUGGGAGCGGGUUCCGCCAGAAGUAGGUAGCCUAACCGCAAGGGGGGCGCUUACCACGGCGGGGUUCGUGACUGGGGUGAAGUCGUAACAAGGUA
rnacentral:rRNA from 1 species